GUGCUUACCUGGCGGGGGAGAUACUAUGAUCACGAAGGUGGUUUUCCAAGGGUGAGGUGUAUCCAUUGUACUCCAGAGGUGCUGACCCCUGGGGUUUCCCCAAGCGUGGGAAACUCGACUGCAUCAUUUGUGGUAGUGGGGCCUACAUUCAUGCUCUCCCUUG